CUGCUGUCCUGCACUGACUCAGAUGAAGUUGCCCCUCAAACGUAUCGUGUCCUACAACCGGACCAGUAGCGAUUGCUCCAUCAAAGCUGUGGUCUUUAAGAUUAUUAGUGGAAAGAUGAUCUGUGUGGAUCCUGCCUCUGACUGGGUCAAUAACCACAUGAAAGCAGUGGACCAGAGAACAAAAGGACCUGCUACUGGAAAACAAACAUCCUCCAAACACUGAAGUUAACCAGCUAAAGGCUGUGAAAUACAUGCGAUUAUACGUCACAUACACAUAGUACACAAGUAAAUAUAACUGUGUACCAUGAAGAACUAUGUUAAAUAUUGGUAACAUUCUGUAAUUGGUGUUCUGGACAGGCCAGUAAAUGUUUUGGCAUUCUAGCGGCCCCUGCUGGCUGAACAGAAAAACACAGUAGGAAGUAGUGAAAUAGGAAGUGUUCAGGUAGAGCACAUUGGAUUGAGUGCUACAAAAUCCACCAUAAUCUGUUAAUUACUAGUUUAGCAGGACAGUGUUAUUCCCUGUGAGUAAUACUAUUUUAUUAUUGCUCAUGUGUGGUUUAAGUGGAUGUUUGGAUAAUGAAGUUGAGAUGAUGUCUAUCACUGGUUGUUGAAUCUUCACCAACUGUCGAGUGCUUUAAGAUGAUUAGUGGAAAGAUGAUCUGUGUGGAUCCUGCCUCUGACUGGGUCAAUCACCACAUGAAAACAGUGGACCAGAGAACAAAAGGACCUGCUACUGCAAAACAAACAACCUCCAAAAACUGAAGUUGACCAGCUAAAGGCUGUGAAAUACAUGAGAUUAUACGUCAGUACACAAGUAAAUAUAACUGUGUACCAUGAAGAACUAUGUUAAAUAUUGGUAACAUUCUGUAAUUGGUG